UUUAUACUGUGAAACUGCGAAUGGCUCAUUAAAUCAGUUAUCGUUUAUUUGAAAGUACCUUACUACAUGGAUACCUGUGGUAAUUCUAGAGCUAAUACAUGCUGAAAACCUCGACUUCGGAAGGGGUGUAUUUAUUAGAUAAAAAACCAAUGCCCUUCGGGGCUCCUUGGUGAAUCAUAAUAACUUAACGAAUCGCAUGGCCUUGCGCCGGCGAUGGUUCAUUCAAAUUUCUGCCCUAUCAACUUUCGAUGGUAGGAUAGUGGCCUACCAUGGUGGCAACGGGUAACGGGGAAUUAGGGUUCGAUUCCGGAGAGGGAGCCUGAGAAACGGCUACCACAUCCAAGGAAGGCAGCAGGCGCGCAAAUUACCCAAUCCCGACACGGGGAGGUAGUGACAAUAAAUACUGAUACGGGGCUCUUUUGGGUCUCGUAAUUGGAAUGAGUACAAUCUAAAUCCCUUAACGAGGAACAAUUGGAGGGCAAGUCUGGUGCCAGCAGCCGCGGUAAUUCCAGCUCCAAUAGCGUAUAUUAAAGUUGUUGCAGUUAAAAAGCUCGUAGUUGAACCUUGGGUCUGGCUGGCCGGUCCGCCUCACCGCGAGUACUGGUCCGGCUGGACCUUUCCUUCUGGGGAAUCUCAUGGCCUUCACUGGCUGUGGGGGGAACCAGGACUUUUACUGUGAAAAAAUUAGAGUGUUCAAAGCAGGCCUUUGCUCGAAUACAUUAGCAUGGAAUAAUAGAAUAGGACGUGCGGUUCUAUUUUGUUGGUUUCUAGGACCGCCGUAAUGAUUAAUAGGGAUAGUCGGGGGCGUCAGUAUUCAGCUGUCAGAGGUGAAAUUUCUUGGAUUUGCUGAAGACUAACUACUGCGAAAGCAUUCGCCAAGGAUGUUUUCAUUAAUCAGGGAACGAAAGUUAGGGGAUCGAAGACGAUCAGAUACCGUCGUAGUCUUAACCAUAAAC
rnacentral:rRNA from 1 species